rnacentral:rRNA from 1 species
UACGAAGGGGGCUAGCGUUGUUCGGAAUCACUGGGCGUAAAGGGCGCGUAGGCGGCCAUAUAAGUCGGGGGUGAAAGCCUGUGGCUCAACCACAGAAUUGCCUUCGAUACUGUAUGGCUCGAGGCCGGAAGAGGUAAGUGGAACUGCGAGUGUAGAGGUGAAAUUCGUAGAUAUUCGCAAGAACACCAGUGGCGAAGGCGGCUUACUGGUCCGGUUCUGACGCUGAGGCGCGAAAGCGUGGGGAGCAAACAGG